ensembl:lncRNA
CUCCUCAACUUUUUUGUAUCUUUCCUCUAGUCAACCAUAUGCAGCCAUUUUGCUUCAGAAGGUGAACAUUUAUUGAACAUCUGUUGAGUAACAGGUUCUUUUCUAGUUGCUCAAAGCAUAGGAGUAAAUAAAGUUCUGUCCAUAUGGGGUUUACAUAGUGGAAUGUAGGGAAACAGUAAACAAAACACAUAUAUGGCCUGUUAGGUAGUGAUAAGUGCUUUGGUGAAAAACUAAGAUUAAGGAGACUAGUUAAGGAAGAACGUAUUUUAUUUUAUAUAGGGUAGUCAGAAAAGGCCUCAAUGAAAAGGUGACAUGUAACUAGAGACUUGAAGAAUAUCUGGGAGGGUGAACAGCUUUUCAGGAAGAGAGGCAGCUAAUGAAAAUGUGAUGUAAUGUGAAUGUUCUGAGUGUGUAUCUAGAACCCAGGCAGUUCAGUGUGAUGGUCAAGGUGAGCUAGGGAGAAAGUGGUAUAGGGAUUGAUGGGAGAGAUGGGGACAGGUAAGUGGUGCAGGUGUUUGAUGUGCAGAGCUUAAUGCCCUAAAAUUUUUGUGUCCCACCCUUAGAGUUUCUGAUUUGCUAGUCCUGGGCUUGGAGGAGAAUUUUCAUUUCUAACAAGUUCCCCGGUAAGUAAGAACCAUUGAACCAGGGUGGAAGCAGAGAGACUGUUAGGAUUUCAGAGUUAAUACCAGCUUGGGUUGGAGUGGUAGCAGUGACGGUAGUAAGAAAUUGUAGUCAAAUUCUAGUAAGAAAUUGGGGUAUGUUUUGAAGGCAGAGCCAGUAGGUUUUACUGAUGAAUAAAAGUGUGAGAGUUGAGAACAAGAGAGAUGCCAAGCAAAGUGAACAGGGUGCAUAUGGGUUGGGGUGUAUGUCAGAAGUCUAGUUUUGAUGUGUUAAGUGAGAUGUACUUGAUUAGAUAUAUAAUUAGAGAUAAUGAGAAGGCAGCAUGAGGAGAGGUUCAGGCUACAGACAAGUUAUACAGCCGCCAGUGUAUAUAGAUAGUAUUUAAAGCCAAGGAUGAGGUCUCUGGUUCUCAACCAGAAACUACAAAGGGGGGCUUUUGACAAUGUCUAGAGAGACCUUUUUGACAUCAUAGUUAAGGCUACUGUUGGCAUGUAAUGAGUAGAGGUUAAGGAUGCCACUGAAUGUUGUCUGAUGCACAGAGCAGCCUCCCACAGCAAAGAUAUCUGGUUUCAAAAUGUGAAUAGUGCCAAGGUUGAGAAAUCCUCACUAGAUGAAUUUUAGAGCAUGUUGAUAAACACACUUUGGGAAGAUUUGAGUCCUGGUUUGCUGUUAACUUCAGCUUAGAGAGAUGAGAGUAAACCAGCAAAGGACAUGGACAGGCAGGUAGGCUGAAAGCUUGUGGAAAAUUUUUUCACAAGUAGAAAGAUGGUAAAGAAGUGUGUUGAAUGCUGUUGCCUUUUAAGUACUCAUCUUGGAUUGACUAUUAACCUAUGGAUUUAGUAAAGGGAAGGACCUCUAUGUCUAUAAUAGGAGUUUUAAAAUGUGAUUAGGGUAAAAUUCUGAUUAGAAUGAACCUGGAAAAUAUCAGGAUACACAGAAUUUUGAAGUAAAGAGAAUCCAGAGAAAUGGGGAACAGCAGCUGGGGUCGCUAAGAGUCGGACACGACUGAGCGACUUCACUUUGACUUUUUACUCUCAUGCACUGGAGAAGGAAAUGGCAACCCACUCCAGUAUUCUUGCCUAGAGAAUCCCAGGGACGGGGGAGCCUGGUGGGCUGCCGUCUAUAGGAUUGCACAGGGUUGGACACGACGGAAGCGACUUAGCAGCAGCAGCUGUGGUGAGGGAGGUGGUGGCAGUGUAGAGGAGGUUUGCCUUUUGUGUUCUGUUAAGAUGGGAAGUUGUGUGUGUAUGUGUAAGGGGACUCUAUUUUGGGGGAGAAUAUGGAGUAAUUGUUUUCUACCAAAAACUAUAAAGAAAAAGUUAACCAUCACCUUUGAUCCCUGGAAUAAAUUUGACUAUAGAUCUAGAUAAGCACACAGACACAUUUGUUGUAUGGGCUACAGUGCGAGGGAGAGGAUUUCUCUGUCUUUCAAACCAUCAUUUUCCUCAGCUAGGUAGCUAGCAGCCUUUCCUUGUCAGUAGGAGUGGUCCCUUCCCAGCCCAUCUGAACUACUAUUUAUGGUCAACCCUUUUGGAAAUGGAGGAAAAACAUCUCUUUCCAACACCUUUAUGCUGGUGAGACUGAAUAUAAUAAGGUGGAGAUUUUUUCCAGAGCUGAGGUAGUAAUGAACACAUUCUCAUCUCAGUUUGUAAUUCCAGUUUAUAAGGUGUUAACAUUUGUGCCUCAACUCCUUAACCUGUCCCAGAGCCACAAUCCAAUCUGUCUUGCUUACCACUCUAUGAACUAGGCAUUUAUGGGAGUUCCUGGUAUAUUUUCCCUCAGAAGGCCAAAGCUGAAUGUGGGGGCUAAUUCUUUCAUGAGAUAUAUAGUAGCUGUAUAUUCAAACUAAUUUUUUUUUUUUUUUUAAAGCUAUUCAGACCCAUUCUCCGCACCUAAUUUCUAGAGCGGGAAGGAAAUUUCCAGUGUGUUGUGGUUAUUUAAUGCUUCAUAACAAACUAUCCCACAGCACAGGGGCUUAGAACAAAAAUCAGUCAUUAAUUUUAUUCAUGAUUGAGCACUUUGGCAAGGAUUGGUGAAUACUGCUGGAGCAAAUUGGGUCUGGAGAAUUUACUUUCAAGAGAGCUUAUUCCCUUAGCUAUCUUAAUUACUAUGUACUUUCAUCUGGGAGUGCAGUUGGGGGGGUCUCAGUUCGUCUCCACCUGGGCCUUUCUACAAGAGCUACUUGUGCUUCCUCACAAAUGGUGGAUAGGUUUCAAGGGCAUGUAUUUCAAGGAAAAAUGAAAGCUGUCAGUUUUUAAAGGUGUGCACCCCCAUCCCCCAAACUGGCCCAGUGUCAUUUCUCUUGUAUUCUACUGGUCGAGCUUAACUUGCCCAGAUUUAAGGCUCAUAGGCCCCAAACUGUUUGAUGAGUAGAAUGUCACAGAAUUUGUGAUCAUCUUAAUCCGCAGUACACCAUCAUGCCAGAAGGGGGAAAAUGUUGGAGGAGCACAUUUUUGUUCCUCAGUAUUCACUCUUUUCCAAAGGAGAAGUGGUGACUUGACUGCUUACUGAAUAUUGUAGAAGGAACAGGAUACACUUGACUGAGCCCCUGUUCUUUGGGAAACAGUCUUCCCAAAGGAAGCAUGCAUUGUAAUUGGCUGUCUUAGCAAAUGGUAAUAAGGUUAGUGGGAAAGCUCUUGUGGGGAAUGCCUGCGGUUUUCAUUUUUGCUUUUAAAAAAAAAAUAUAUAUAUAUAUAUAUAUAUAUAUAAAACAAAUUUUACUGUUGUAACCAUUUAAAAAUCUAUAGUUCAGUGGUAUUUAAGUACAUUCACAGUGUUGUGCAACCAUCACAAUCAUCCAAAACUUCAUCACCCCAAGAGGAAACCCCAAAGCCAUUAAGAAAUCACUCAUUAUUCCCCCCUUAGCCCAGCCCCUGGCAACCACUUGUCUGUUUUCUGUCUUCUAUGCAUUUACCUAUUUUGGAUGUUUCAUAGAAAUGUAAUUAUGUAAUACAGGCAAUACCUCAGAGAUAGCAUGGGUUCAGUUCCAGACCGCCUUCAUAGAGCCAAUAACACAAUAAAGUGAGUCACACACAGUGUUUGUCUUUCCAGUGCAUAUAAAAGUCAUGCUCACACUAUAGUGUAGUCUAUUAAAUGCACACUAGUGUUAAUGUCUAAAAAACGAUGUAUAUACCUUAAUUAAAAUAUUGCUAAAAAUGCUAUCUGUGCCUUCAGUGAGUCAUAAUCGUUUUUCUGGUGGAGGGUCUUGUCUCGAUGUUGGGGCUGCUGAUUGGUUAGGGUGGUGGCUGCUGAAGGUUUUGGGGUGGCUGUGGAAGUUUCUUAAAACAAGACAGCAAUGAGGUUUGCCGCAUUGACUCUUCCUUUUCACAAGUGAUGAACUUCCUUUCACAGUUGAACUUCUUUCAAAAUUGGAAUCAGUCCUCUCAAAUCCUGCCACAGCUUUACCAACUAAUAUAUGCUAUACUGAACACUUUGUUGUCAUUUCAACAGUCUUCUCGGUUUCUUCACCAGGACUACUACAUAGAUCACAUUUCAAAAAAUCAUUUUCUUUGUUCCUCCAUCGAAAGCAACUACUUAUUCAUUAAAGUUUUAUUGGGAGAUAGCAGACAUUUGGCCACAUCUUCAGGCUUCACUUCUAGUUCUCUUGCCAUUUCCACCACAUCUGCAGUUACAAAGACCACUGAUCACAGAUCACCAUAACAAAUACAGUAAUAACUGAGAACAAUUGAAACAUUUCAAGAACUACCAAAAUGUGACACAGAGACAUGAACAAAUGCUGUUGGAAAAAUGGCACUGGAAGGCUUGCUGGACAGAGUUGCCACAAAUUUUCAUUUUGUUAAAAAAAAAAAAAAAGUAUUUUCAAAGGACAAUAAAGUUACAGUAAAACGAGGUGUGCCUUUAUGUGGUCUUUUAUGUCAGGUUUCUUAUCACGUUUUCAAGGUUCGUUCAUGUUGUAGCAUGUGUCAGCGCUUCAUUCCCUUUCAUGGCUGAAUAAUACUCUAUUUUAUGGCCAUACCACAUUUAUUCAUUCAUCUGUUGAUGGACACAUCACUUAGAUAUUAUGAAUAAUGCUGUUAUAACACUAGUAAGUAUUUGUUUGAGUCUGUUUUUAAUUCAUUUGGAUAUCUACCUAGAGUGGAAUUGUU